UACAGAGGUCCCGAGCGUUGUUCGGAUUCACUGGGCGUAAAGGGCGCGUAGGCGGCCUGAUAAGUAGGGGGUGAAAUCCUGCGGCUUAACCGCAGGGCUGCCUUCUAAACUGUCAGGCUUGAGCACAGUAGAGGCAGGUGGAAUUCCCGGUGUAGCGGUGGAAUGCGUAGAGAUCGGGAAGAACAUCAGUGGCGAAGGCGGCCUGCUGGGCUGUUGCUGACGCUGAGGCGCGACAGCGUGGGGAGCAAACAGG
rnacentral:rRNA from 1 species